UAGUAACGGCGAGUGAAGAGGGAAAAGCUCAAAUUUUGAAUCUGGUGUCUUWGGCGCCAGAGUUGUAAUCUAGAGAAGUGUUUUCCGCUUUGGACCGUGUACAAGUUCCCUGGAACGGGGCGUCAUAGAGGGUGAGAAUCCCGUAUAUGGCACGGACUACCAAUGCUCUGUGAUACACUCUCAACGAGUCGAGUUGUUUGGGAAUGCAGCUCAAAAUGGGUGGUAAAUUCCAUCUAAAGCUAAAUAUUGGCGAGAGACCGAUAGCGAACAAGUACCGUGAGGGAAAGAUGAAAAGCACUUUGGAAAGAGAGUGAAACAGUACGUGAAAUUGUUGAAAGGGAAGCGUUUGAASUCAGUCAUAUCUGGCGGRAUUCAGCSUGGCUUUUGCCUGGUGURCUUUCCGUCCCGAUGGGUCAGCAUCAAUUUUGAUCGAGGGAAAAAGAUGUUCGGAAUGUGGCUGUCUUCGGGCAGUGUUAUAGCCUUGCGUUGUAUGUCUCGGUUGGGAUUGAGGAGUCCAGCGCGCCCUAUAGGCCGGGGGCUAACGCCUUCGACACGCGCUUAGGAUGCUG
rnacentral:rRNA from 1 species